rnacentral:lncRNA from 1 species
AGACAAGACCUGAGCCUGCUUGUCCAUUACAGAUCAAAAUCAAUUUUCUCUACAUUGGAGUGACACAGACAAUUCCUGGCCUUUCUUAGACAUCCUAUGACCACCAGACACCCUGGCUCUCAUGAAGAAAAAAAAAUCCAUAGUGGAAUUUAAUUUACAGAAUUGAGAAUGUGAAAGUCAUGGGAGGCUCAGGACAACUUGAUCAAGCUUAAGUUUGUUUCCAAUAAUUCCCUUGGUUCUGCCUGAUACAUCGACUUCCUUGCAAACCCGAAAUACCCACACAAGUCCUGCCCAUGAAGACAGUGAUCUUUCCCUCCCUGCCUUUAAACCAAGCUUUGUCCCAUACUUUGUAUGGACCAGCCCAGAAGAAAAGUUUCUGCGCCAAAGAGGCGGGUCAGUGUUGGAGAGCAUGAGCUGCUCUGUCAGAGGACCCUGGGUCCCUUCUCCAGCACCAGUGUCAGGUGGCUCACAAGUGCUACUCGCUCCAGACCCAGGAGGGCCUAGCACCCGACCUCUGCAAACACCUGCACUCACAUACACUUUAAAAUUGGUUGGUUGGUUGGUUGGUUUUUUAAAAUGCAUUUCUUGUGUGGGUCGUGGAAUUAGCCUAAUUGGCCUAGGUCAAUCAAGGCCUUUAUGUACACUAGGGGAUUAGAGUGAACUCUAUCAAAAUAGCAGUCCUCUGCACAGUGGUGUGAGUGUGACCAGUACUGCGGGAGCCAGCCACAGUCUCAUUUACAGAGGGCAUUCGUAAGUGCUAAGGGAGAUGGCAUACAGGGUUUCAGACAGCGCCUGGCACAUAGGACAUGUUGCCAUUUUUUAUUAACUUAGCAUUAUUGGUGUCCUGAACACACAAUCAGCUUUCAGUACUUCACUAAGGGCCAGCUUGGGGAUAUGCUUGCUGUGUACGACCUAUGUGAGGGGUACAAUUUAGUACAUAUGCAAUAUAUAAUGAUUGUAUAUGAUUGUAUAUAACUAGACAGGAUUCCCAGCACUCUAAACACUUUAAAAUUGUGUACGUUGAGAAUCGUUGGCUUCUUUUCUAGUUGUAAAAUGUCUCUCGAGUUAAGGAAUUCCUCUUAUUUAAGAGCUGUUUUUAUUUUACAUGUAUAAGUGUUUUCCCUGAAGGUAUGCCCGUGUACCAUAAAUGUGCCUGCUGCUCACAGAAGCCAGAAGAGAGUGUUGAAUUCCCUAGAAGUGGAGUUACAGAUGUUGUGAGCCACCAUGUGAUUGCUGGGAAUUGAACCCAGGUCCUCUAGAUUUAAGUGCUGAGCCAUCUCUCCAUCAUCAAGGAGUCCCUUCAUCUUUGGUACCCAUUAUCUCUAUCCUCACUCCCAGUCUCUUGUGACCAUUAUUCUACUUUCUUUUAUAAUAAUAUUGACAUUUUUGGCUUCCACAAAUGAAUGAAAAUGUGGUAUUUGUCUAGCUGUGCCUGGCUAAUUUUAACAUAUAAUUAUCCUCAAGUUUCAUCCACAUUGCCA